GUAGGGUGCGAGCGUUAAUCGGAAUUACUGGGCGUAAAGCGUGCGCAGGCGGCGCCGCAAGUCAGGCGUGAAAUCCCCGAGCUUAACUUGGGAAUGGCGCUUGAAACUACGGUGCUGGAGUGUGGCAGAGGGAGGUGGAAUUCCACGUGUAGCGGUGAAAUGCGUAGAGAUGUGGAGGAACACCGAUGGCGAAGGCAGCCUCCUGGGCCAACACUGACGCUCAUGCACGAAAGCGUGGGGAGCAAACAGGAUUAGAUACCCUGGUAGUCCACGCCCUAAACGAUGAUGACUAGUUGUUGGGGGAGUUAAAUCCCUUAGUAACGCAGCUAACGCGUGAAGUCAUCCGCCUGGGGAGUACGGUCNNAAGANUA
rnacentral:rRNA from 1 species